rnacentral:tRNA from 2 species
CCUUCGAUAGCUCAGUUGGUAGAGCGGUGGACUGUAGAAAAAGUGAAAGUGGCUUAGCUGUGAAAAUGCAUAUCCAGCAAAUAGUGCAUUUGUGGCCACAGUGGAAGCCAAUAGAAAUCCAUAGGUCACUGGUUCAAAUCCGGUUCGAAGGA